UACGAAGGGAGCUAGCGUUGUUCGGAAUCACUGGGCGUAAAGCGCACGUAGGCGGAUGUGUCAGUCAGGGGUGAAAUCCCGGAGCUCAACUCCGGAACUGCCCUUGAUACAGCACGUCUUGAGUCCGAGAGAGGUGAGUGGAAUUCCUAGUGUAGAGGUGAAAUUCGUAGAUAUUAGGAAGAACACCAGUGGCGAAGGCGGCUCACUGGCUCGGUACUGACGCUGAGGUGCGAAAGCGUGGGGAGCAAACAGG
rnacentral:rRNA from 1 species